rnacentral:rRNA from 1 species
AUACAGAGGGUGCAAGCGUUAAUCGGGAAUUACUGGGCGUAAAGCGAGCGUAGGUGGCUUGAUAAGUCAGAUGUGAAAGCCCCGGGCUUAACCUGGGAACGGCAUCUGAUACUGUUAGGCUAGAGUAGGUGAGAGGAAGGUAGAAUUCCAGGUGUAGCGGUGAAAUGCGUAGAGAUCUGGAGGAAUACCGAUGGCGAAGGCAGCCUUCUGGCAUCAUACUGACACUGAGGUUCGAAAGCGUGGGGAGU